AAAAACCAAAAAAAAAAAAAAAAAAAAAAAAAGAUUUAGUGCCUAGAACCACUAGGGGUCUCAGAUCACCACCUGCUACUCCAGUGUGGGAGGGUGAAACCCAGGCCCUGACAGCC